GCUGGCUACAGGGAGUACACAACCCCCUUGUUGCAACGGCUCCAUUGGUUGCCAGUUUAUUUCUAGACACCAAAGUGCUUGUUCUGGACCAUGCUCUCCUCUCUGACUCUGGUUUGAGAUCCUCUGCAGAUGGUCUUCUCUUUGUCCCGCCAGCUUCACAGUCGAGUUCAUUUCAACAUGCAACAAUCCUAUGAUGAAGGAUAUCCAAGAGUCCCAGUUAUUACCUG
rnacentral:lncRNA from 11 species